UACGUAGGGUGCAAGCGUUGUCCGGAAUUAUUGGGCGUAAAGAGCUCGUAGGCGGUCUGUCGCGUCGGCUGUGAAAUCCCGAGGCUCAACCUCGGGUCUGCAGUCGAUACGGGCAAACUGGAGUGUUGCAGGGGAGACUGGAAUUCCUGGUGUAGCGGUGAAAUGCGUAGAUAUCUGGAGGAAUACCGGUGGCGAAGGCGGCAUCCUGGACCGGCAUUGACGCUGAGGCGCGAAAGCUAGGGGAGCAAACGGG
rnacentral:rRNA from 1 species